rnacentral:tRNA from 1 species
GCAGCCAUAGCUCAGUUGGAAGAGCGCAGCCCUGCGAAGGUUGAGGCCGCUGGUUCGAGCCCAGCUGGUUGCACCA